UUCAAUUUAAAUAGUAAAGAAUGGGGAUUUACAGAGUAAGCAAUAAUACUUUUAACAAAUUUAAUACAAAACAACCCAUAAUCAUCCCAAAACCUGGUGUCACAAGUGCAUGAGCAUUUACGAGGAAUAUAAAAUAAAAUUCAGCAGCUGUCCGGAAUACAAAUUGGACAUGAAAAAUGUAAAUACUCUGAAGGAGGUGGUUGUGGAUCGACGAAUGGAAUACAGCUCACCUAGGUCCCCACAUGUAUACACGCCUCUACUCUCACAUGGCCUCUAGACAUAUAUGUACCUGCACAAAAAUGUGCAGCAAGUGUAGUAUGAGUACGUAAGUAACGUGUAUCCAGUAAGUAUCUAGCCUAACCCUGGAGGAGUAGUAACGAGGGGUCGACAUCGACUCUCACUAGUAGUCCAACAACAUCAGGUACAGUAAAAAGGUAAAUAAGUAUGAGGCAGAGUAAAUAAAUAAAAUAAACAAGUAUAAAACACGUGAUACAAAUCCCCCUUCUUUACAAGGAACUCAAGCUCUUCAUUAGAAAUUUUCUCCUUAAUCAGAGCAUAUAUAUAUAUAUAUAGUGGAUCUCAUCAAGUAGCUUACCAUAAUUCAAAUCCGGGAAUUCCCUGAUACACUGGCUUCUUGCCAAGUCUUACGCACGAUUUCAUAGAGAUAUGAUAUAGGAAAUGCCGAGGCGUACGGCCCAAUCCAACAUAAUAAUAAAACUCUACACUGCCGAGGGUCGAACGGCCCGAACCAUAUGAUAAAUCAAUUAACCUUCCGAGGCGAACGACCCGCUCCCAUGAGAGUGUGGUACAUAAAUCCUGUAGAGGCGAACGACCCAAUCCCAUAAGAAGUGUAAUACAAAUUUCUGCCGAGGCGAACGGCCUGAUCCCAUAAGAAUAAGAGACUUUGAUGGGUCCUUGACCCCACUCAAGAAUAAACGUGUGAGUUGUAAUUUCUUUAACAAAACACUUUCAAUGAAGUAUAUAUAUCACAGAAACAUGCCGUAAGAGGAGUAGAAUUAUUCGGUGACUAAUCAUGAACUCGUGAAGUCUCUACAAUAACAAGUCUAGUCUCAAGUAGUAAUGUAAAACAGAGGAAUUUAAUAGGUGAGAGACUACUCAAAUAAUAUAGCUAUAGAAUGAUGUGAACCUAAGCCUACCCGAACAAUAACAUGAAUUUAGCUACGUAUGGGCUCUCGUCACCUCACGCGUACGUAGCCCCCACAACAAGUAACACACAUCAAUAUACAACACCUAGGGGUAAUUUCCCCCUCACAGAGUUAGACAUGAGACUUACCUCGCUCCGAAAUUCCAUAACCGGCUCCAAAGCCCUCUAACACCUCAAACCGGUGACCGCCGAUCCAAAACUAGUCAAAUACGAUGCAACCCAAUCAAAAUAUAUUCUAAUACUCGUAAUUAAUCAAUUUAUAAUAAUUUUCAACUCCGCUCGAAAGAUCGAUAAAGAAACCCUCGGGCCCACGUGCCAGGAUUCCGAAAAUUUUCAAAGAUAACUAUUAUCCAUAACCUCACGAACUCAAAUAUAUAAUUUAUUUCCAAUUCCAUGUCCAAAUUCGUGGUCAAAAUCCAAAAAAAAAAAAAUUCUAGGUUUUCUCUCAAAAUCCCAUAAUUUCUACCAAUUUCCAUGCUUGAAUCCAUAUAAAAUCAUGUAUUUAACUCAAAAUAGGUGGGAUUACUUACCUCAUAAUAAAAGAUGAAAUCUCCUCUUCAAAAGCUCCAAAAAUCGCCUAACCAAAAUGAAAUAUGAAGCAAAUUGGGACAAAUCCCGUCUUUAAAUGGAUACUGCCCAGCACCUCUCGCAUCUGCUGUCAAAUAACCACUUCAGCGGCUCCGCACCUGCGGAAAUUCCAUCGUAGGUGAGGCUCUAGCUCGGCCCAACAAUCCCGCUUCUGUGCUCCAUGUAGCACAUCUGAGCGUUUGCUUCUGCGGUCCAUGUGUCGUACCUGAGCCCAUCACCCGCUCCUGCAUUGCCCACUUCGCACAUGUGCCUUCGCAGGUGCGCCCAAAUGUUCCGCACCUGCGGCUGCUUACCAACCUCCUCUCCUUCGCACCUGCGACUCGUGGCUCGCACUUGCGUCCCUUUUCACGCAGGUGCGAUUGCACUAGAUAUCAACUGCCUCAGCAUUUCAUCCAAGUGUAAACUCGAUCCGUUAACCAUCCAGAAUCCACCUGAGGCCCUCGGGACUUCAACCAAAUAUGCCAACACGUACCAAAACACAUCCCGAACUUAAUUGAGCCUUUAAAUCACAUAAAACAAUGCUAAAAACACGAAUCACCCUCCAAUUCAAACUUAGUAAACUUUGAAACUUCAACUUCUACAAUCGAUACCGAAAUCUAUCAAAUCACUUCCGAUUGACCUCAAAUUUUUCACACAAGUCACAUUUGAUAUUACGGACCUACUCCAACUUUCAGAAUCGGAAUCCGACCCUAAUAUCAAAAAAUCCACUCCCGGUCAAACUUCUUAAAAUUAUCCAAAUUUCCAACUUUCUCCCAAAUGGCCCCAAAAUGACCUACGGACCUCCAAAUUCACUUCCGGAUGCACUCCUAAGACCAGAAUCAUCAUACAAAGCUAUUCCUAGAGUCAAAAUCCUAAACGGACGUCGAUAUCAUUGAAAUGCACUCCAACUCAAAUUUAUGAAAUCCUUCCAAAAUGUCAACUUCCACAAUAGGCGUCAAAAUGUUCCCGGGUCAUCCAAAACCCGAUCCGGACAUACGCCCAAGUUCAAAAUCAUCAUACGAACUUGUUGGAACCUUCAAAUCUCGAUUCCGAGGUCGUCUACUCACAAAUCACACUUUAGUCAAUUCCUCCAACUUAAGGCUUCCGAAAUUAGAAUUUUCUUUCCAAAUCAACUCCGAACUUCUCAAAAUUAAAUUUCGACCACGCGUAUAAGUCAUAAUACCUGAAGUGAAGCUGCUCAGGGCCUCAAACCGCUGAACGACGUACUUGAUCUCAAAAUGACCAGUCGGGUCGUUACAUUCUCUCCCACUUAAACAUACGUUCGUCCUCGAACGUGCUAAGAAAUGUCCCAGAGCUGACCAUGAUCAAUGUUUAACACCUCAUGCACCUACCCGUGCUACCACAACCCAGUUGAGCACAUUAGUUCUAGCGAACCUGAAUAUCCUUCCUUUUAUCUGGUGAAAUAACCUUAGAACCAAAUUCCAACAUCUGAAAUUCCCUUCCAGGUCUGUUUCCAGCAUUCGAACACCGUACCCAUCACCACACGAUGUACCAAUACAUGAUUGUAUACCUGUUCUGAAUCUACACCAUGCACUACGUAAUUCACCUGACCAUAAUAACACCGUCUGACGAUAAUAGCCACAAUUCCACGAAUCUGAUGCCCACAACACACCCCAUGACACAUGUAAGUCCAGUUCCAACUCUUGCAAUACUGUUACGACGGAAGGGGUGUGUAGAAAUUCAUAACCAACUGCCGAGUUAACAAAUUCUUGAGUCUCUCCUCCUGAUAAGAACCAUUACCUCAUUAUGAACCAAAUAACGAUAUUUGCUCUCAAAUAUGCCGCAUAUAAAUCCGAUCGCACUGAUACCAUGUCCAAUAAUCUCGUCUUACCUAGUACAAACUGCUUAGACAAUAAGCCACCUCGGACACUUCCAAAAGUCUCAUAUAAUUCCACAAUGUGCCAACAAGCUACAAACUCGAAUGUGAUACAUAAGGGAGUGAACUCUGGAAAACACUACUCGACCCACAUAACUAAUUUAAACAACCGAAAAGAUAUUAUAAGCCUUCCUCGGAAAACGAGAAGUAAAACACACAAUAAUAGAUAUGGGAAAUUGUACUCAAUAUCACACUGUUGCGGCAUGCAACCCUAUCCAACCAUGAUACCCGUGGCGGCGUGCCACCCAAUCCAAAUAACACAUCCGUGGAGGCGUGCCACCCGAUCCAACCAUAUACCUGUGGCGGCAUGCCACCCAAUCCACAGAUAAUAAUAUAAAGAAAACACGCAUCGAGCCGUAACGCUUAUAAUCAUGAAAUGACCGAAUAUCAACCGUAAGCACGCCAAGUGCAUAAUACAAAUCUUGGGGAGACGGGUAGCGUCAUACACUAUAAAACUCAAGCACAACUAAGGUGCGAUUUAUGAUCUGCAUCACGAGAGCCAUCCUGCUCACAUCUUACCACAAACUAUGCGGGAUCUCAAUACGAGUGCGAAUAAUCAAACCGUCUCAUAACCCACAUGGCAUAAUAGAGUAUUACAUAAAAUAGAUGACGACAGAAAUAACAUCCAAGGCCCGAAGACCCCUCCGAAAACAACGUUAUGCUGAAAUGAAUACUUCCGGCCUGAUAUAGAGCCCACAUUCACACUUAGAUCGAUCCACGAACCUCAAGCCAAUUCUGAUCGUACCGCACUAGGCUAAUAACCUUUUAAGGAUGCACAAUAACCCUUUUUACCAUUACACACAAGAACAACCGUCAAUCCAGAAUGAACUUCCACAGUCCACAACCGAAUGAACCGAGCGCCCUACAGGCAUAAAUUCUCACAUUAGCGAUAGUACCACAAUAUCCAUACUUGGUUUUAAAUCUUUAAUUAAUCCAGUGACUACAUGUCACACUUAUACAAUCUUCCCAUGGGAUAAAUUCCCACCACCUUCCGCACCAGGUAACAAGUCUGCACAUCCAUACCACCGGUCAUACUAAGGCUGUAAAGCAAAUCAGGAAUCCGCAAAUCAAAACACAAAGCCCCUUUCACAGGACACCGAUCUUAGGUGAUGCUAAAGGCGAUACCAGCUCACUCUAAACAUCUGAAUUCUUCCCUGCUCAUACGAGCUCUUGACAUUCUCAUCAACAUUGAACCGCAACCUUGAUCCUCAACUUCCAAUUCCCAUGCUACCCACUACACUUAAUCAUGCCAAUACGUAAGAGUACAAGAAUUUCAUGAUAACUCCUGAACCACUAAUAGGGUACACCAAUACUGAUAAUUCCCCUAUGAAUCCGAAGUUAUUUUUUCCUAUUCCUCCAAUGCUACAUCAUAGACUAAAGACAACAUAAAAAACUACAAGCCCCUUUUCAUAAUCUGCUGCAAAAGCUCGAUACUCAGCCAUACUACGGACUCGAAAUCUUUAGGUACCACACUUUAACUUUUGAAUCCACUAGGAUCGUUGUUGAGAGUCACCCACUCUGACUCGGUCCCAAAUAUAAUCAACUCCAAGGUCCUACUAGCACAGGUACACCCUCUCAAAGAAGCAACCGACUAAAUUCCUUUUCAUUGUACAUCACAUCCCCACGAAGCAUAAACUCCGAGUCUUCCCAAAACUUGAACAUGAAUCGAUAAAGCCAAUUACAACAUACAUUCCUCAAAUCCUUUGCUCAAAUUACCACUGAUGUUCUCUUUCCUUAGUCAUUAUAACCCGCCAAUACACCGAUAAUCAGAAAUCGCACAAGUUGACAAUUACGCAAUACAAUCAUAGAAGGUGGGGCUCUCCCACUUAGCUUGAAGCAACCAUUGCAUUACUAUGGAACCCACCAAGAUUCCUUAUCCCCUAUUGACAUGAUCUUUCACAACCAACCCGCCAAAUUCCUCAAAAUCCUUAUGUUAAACAUUUCAUGAACAUUCUGAAUCACUAGACACCUUCACAUAUUCGACCAAGAUGUGUGGCUAUCCUACCACAGAACCCAAAUGCUAUUCUGCCACUCUCCCAUUUUUGUCAAACCCUUUCCUUUAAGCAACUACUCGACUUCUGUUUUCUAACACUUGGCCUUCUUGAAGUUUAAUCACCGCAGGACACCUUCCACGUGUCCUUCCUCAUCCUUCGCUGCCCAGUUGUUGCCCCAAUUCCAAAUCCAGCUCUGUAACACUUGAACCAAUUGAUCGCUACCACUCUAAACCUCUCUGAAGAUCAUCCUUCUUGAGCCAUCAACAUUAGGAUUACCGAUUCGAUUCUGAACCAUAACACACUGCAACAUCUGACAGCCGCUUCCCCGGCACCAUUCACAAUACUCUGCCCCAAAGGCCAUUUGAAGAAGGCCAUAACACCAGCGAACUUAACACAUUUAAUCAAGGACGACGACACCACAUCUCGGAUGAACUAAAAAAUACCAAGUCUCUUUACUCCAUCAAUCCAACCUAAACAUUCUUAGUCCGAUUGCCUUUCCCUCCACUGGAAAUAAAGCACCGAACCUCUGAAUUACGCAUUGAGAAAAACCUCCUUUCAAUUCAUUCAUUGCCCCUAUGCGUAGAAAGUAUCCUACCAUUACUUUAAUACUGUGAGAUAACAACUCGUGAAAAUCAUAGAAAUAGGUGUAUAGCCCCAAAACUAUCAGAAAUACAGCUACUGAGCUGAGAUGACAGAAUAUCCUUACACAAGGCAACGACAUCAGCCCAAUCGAAUAUGUAGGGAGAAACAUCCUGCUCUACAUCAGUAGUUCCAUUAAAAUUCCUCGAUUUCAAAUUUAUAACAAACGUUUCACGUCACAUAAGAUUGAAUGGGAAGGAAAUAAAGGCAUAAGCCUCAAAGGAAUCAAAUCGUACAAUGAGGAAUCAAGAAGGGAAGUGCUCUUAAUAGUCCUGUAGCCUCUCGAAGAUAAGUACAGACAUCUCCGUACCGAUUCGCAAGACUCUACUGGACUCGCUCAUGACUCGUGAGACCUAAGUAAACCUAGUGCUCUUAUACCAUGUUGUCACGACCCAAAAUCCAUAAAGGCCGUGAUGGCGCCGGGCACCACUAUCAGGCAAGCCAACAAUAAAUACUUAAUUGGGUUCUAAUUUUUGUUACUUUUGAAAUAAUAUUUUCCUUUAAUUUAAAUAGUAAAGAAUAUGGAUAUACAGAGUAAAUAAUAAUACUUUUAACAAAUUCAAUAUAGAACAACCCAUAAUCAUCCCAAAACCCGGUUUCACAAGUGCAUGAGCAUUUACUAGGAAUAAAAAAUAAAAUACAGCAGCUGUCCGGAAUACAAUUUAGACAGGAAAAAUGCAAAUUCUCUGAAGGAGACUCUGCUGGCUGCGGAUCGACGAAUGGAAUGAAGCUCACCUAGGUCCCCGUAUGUAUAUAUGCCUCUUCUCUCAUAUCACCUAUAAGUGUAGUAUGCGUAUGUAAGCAAAGUGUACCUAGUAAGAAUCUAGCCUAACCCCGGAGGAGUAGUAACGAGGGGUCGACAUCGACUCUCACUAGUAGUCCAACAACAUCAAGUACAAUAAAGAGGUAAGUAAGUAUGAGGCAGAGUAAAUAAAUAAAAUAAACAAGUAUAAAACACGUGAUACAAAUCCCCCUCUUUACGAGGAACUCAAGCUCUUCAUUAGAAAUUUCCUCCUUAAUCGGAGCAUAUAUAUAUAGAUACAGUGAAUCUCAUAAAGUAGCUUACCAUAAUUCAAAUCCGGGAAUUCCCCGAUACACUGGCUUCUUGCCAAGUCUUACGCACGAUUUCAUGGAGAUAUGAUACAGGAAAUGCCGAGGCGUACGACCCGAUCCAACAUAAUAAUAAAACUCUGCAUUGUGGAGGGUCGAACAGACCGAACCAUAUGAUAAAUCAAUUAACCUUACGAGGCGAACGACCCGCUCCCAUAAGAGUAUGGUACAUAAAUCCUACCGAGGCGAAUGACCCGAUCCCAUAAGAAGUGAAAUACAAAUUCCUGCCAAGGUGAAUGGCCCGAUUCCAUAAGAAUAAGAGACUUUGAUUGUUCCUUGACCCCACUCAUGAAUAAACGUGUGAGUUGUAAUUUCUUUAACAAAAAACUUUCAAUGAAGUAUAUAUAUCACAGAAACAUGCAGUAAGAGGAGUAGAAUUAUUCGGUGACUAAUCAUGAACUCGUGAAGUCUCUACAAUAACAAGUCUAGUCUCAAGUAGUAAUGUAAAACAGAGGAAUUUCAUGGGCGAGAGAUUACUCAAAUAAUACAUCUAUAGCAUCAUGUGAACCUAAGACUACCCGGACAAUAACAUGAAUGUAGUUACGUACGGGCUCUUGUCACCUCUAGUGUACAUAGCCCCCACAACAAGUAGCACAUAUCAAUAUACAACACCUAGGGGUAAUUUCCCCCUCACAGAGUUAGACAUGAGACUUACCUCGCUCCGAAAUUCCAUACCGGCUCCAAAGCACUCUAACACCUCAAACCGGUGACCGCCGAUCCAAAACUAGUCAAAUACGAUGCAACCCAAUCAAAAUAUACUCUAAUACUCGUAAUUAAUUAAUUUAUAACAAUUUCUAACUCCGCUCGAAAGAUCGAUAAAGCAACCCUCGGGCUCACGUGCCCGGAUUCCGAAAAUCUUCGAAGAUAACUAUUAUCCAUUACCUCACGAACUCAAAUAUAUAACUUAUUUACAAUUCCAUGUCCAAAUUCGUGUUCAAAAUCCAAAAAAAAAAAAACCAAUUUCUAGGUUUUCUCUCAAAAUCCCACAAUUUCUACCAAUUUCCAUGCUUGAAUCCAUAUAAAACCAUGUAUUUUACUUAAAAUAGGUGGGAAUUACUUACCUCAUAAUAAAAGAUGAAAUCUCCUCUUCAAAAGCUCCAAAAAUCGCCCAACCAAAAUGAAAUAUGAAGGAAAUUGGGACAAAUCCCGUCUUUAAAAGGACACUGCCGAGCACCUCUCGCAUCUGCUGUCAAAUAACCGCUUCUGCGGCUCCGCACCUGUGGAAAUUCCAUCGUAGGUGCGGCUCCAGCUUGGCCCAUAACCUCACGAACUCAAAUAUAUAAUCUAUUUCCAAUUACAUGUCCAAAUUCGUGGUCAAAAUCUAAAAAUAUUAAUUUUUAGGUUUUCUAUCAAAAUCCCACAAUUUCUACUAAUUUUCAUGCUUGAAUCCAUAUAAAACCAUGUAUUUAACUCAAAAUAGGUGGGAAUUACUUACCUCAUAAUAGAUGAUGAAAUCUCCUCUUCAAAAUCUCCAAUAAUCGCCCAAUCAAAAUGACAUAUGAAGGAAAUUAGGCCAAAUCCCGUCUUUAAAAGGACACUGCCCAGCACCUCUCGCAUCUGCGGUCAAAUAGCCAUGUAAUGACCCGGCCGGUCGUUUCGAGAGUUUUAGCCCAGUUUUUACCAUUUCUACUUCUUUUUGUGUUAUUCAGCUAUAUUAUAUUAUAUCAGGUUAGUUGGUUCGGGUCCGGAAGGAACUCGGAGUGAAAUGAGACACUUAGUCUCAUAAUUAAAAAUUUUAAGUUAGAAAAGUGGACCGGAUAUGGACCUAUGUGUAAACGAACUUGGAUUUGAAUUUUGAUGAUUUCAAUAGCUCUAUAUAUUGAUUUUGGGCUUAGGAGCAUGUCCGGAAUAUUAUUUGGAAGUCCGUAGAGGAAUUAGGCUAGAAAUGCCGAAAGUUUAAUUUUUUGAGAAGUUUGACUGGGGAGUUGACUUUUUGAUAUCGGGGUCGGAAUCUAAUUCUAAAAAUUGGAAUACCUAUGUUAUGUCAUUUAUGACUUGUGUGCAAAAUUUGAGGUCAAUCACACGUGAUUUGAUAGGUUCCGAAGUCGUUUGUAGAAAUUAGAAAUUUCAAAGUUCAUUAGGCUUGAAUUGGGGUGUAAUUCAUGGUUUUAGCGUUGUUUGAAGUGAUUUGAGGGUUCGAAUAAGUCCGUAUGAUAUUUUAGUACUUUUUGGUAUAUUUGGUGGAAGUCCCGAGGGGCUCGGGUGAGUUUCGGAUGGUCAACGGGUUGGAUUUUGGACUUGAAACUCUGCUGGAAUUUUUCUGAUGCACCAUCUGGUUUCCUUCAUCGCGUUCGCGAGUGGAGCCUUGUGUUCGUAAAGAGGAACUGAGAGGCUGGCAAUAUUUGCUCUUCGCGUUCGCGAAGAGAAGCACGCAUCCGCGAAGGGUGGACUGGGCGUGCAUCGCAAACGCGAGAGGUGUUACGCGUUCGCGAAGAUGAGAGGAAGCAGCCGAAGACCCCAAGCAAUUGGUCUACGCGUUCGUGAAGGGGGGGUGUUGCGUUCGCGUAGUGAGGAGGAACGAAGCAUCGCAUUCACGAUGGGUUGAAUGCGUUCACGUAGAAGGCAUUGAGGCAGAGCCAUUUUGUGCUUUGCGAACGCGGGGGUGAUAUCGCGUUCGCGAAGGAGGAAUUUGGAUGGGAGCUAUUUUGUGCUUCGCGAACCCGAGGCACUGACCGCGUUCACGAAGAAGAAAAGCAUGGGCAGUGAGUUUAACCCAUUUUCAGUUUUUGAUGAUUUGGAGCUCAGAUUUGAGGCGAUUUUGGGUGAUUUUCAGAGGAAACAAUGGGGUAAGUGUUCUUAACCCAUUAUUGGUUAAAUUGCCCGAAUCCAUGGUUGUUUUUAUCAUUUAAUUGGUGAAUUGAGUCAGGAAAAUUUGAAAACCCUCUUGGUUUAAAUUGAAGAUUUGAGGGAUGAGUUGGGGUCGGAUUUUGGUAAAAUUGAUAUGGUUAGACUCGUAGUUGAAUGGGUUUUCAGAUAUUGUAACUUUUGUCGAGUUCUCAGAUUUUGAGCUAAUUUUUGGAUAUUUUAUGGAAAAUUAUUAUUAUCUUAUGAAAUUAAUUCCAAUGAAUUUUAUUGACGGAAACAAAUUAUCUAUGACCAGAUUCGAGGCGUUUGGAGACCAAUUCAUGAGGAAAGGACAUUGCAGAAUAAGAAUUUCGCGGCAUGAGGUAAGUAACGAUUGUAAAUCUAGUCCCGAGGGUAUGAAACCCCGAAUUUCAUAUCAUUUUACUACUUUGAGGUGAUGCACAUGCUAGGUGACGGGCGUGUACUGUUGGGGAUUUUUGACUUGGUCCGUUCCGUAGCAACUGUAAAGUUGCAUACUUCAUUGAAACUAUAUGAUACUUAUAUGUUUUAGAAAGAGUUUCUGUAAAUUGGGCUGAAUGCCAUGUUUGGGCCUUGCGCCAGUGCUGUUUGGACCCUUAGGGGCUUUUUAUUACUAUCCUCUCAUUGUUUUCGAUUGAAAAUCUAUACUCAAUCAUGUUUAUACUUGUUUACCGCAUAACUCAGNNNNNNNNNNNNNNNNNNNNNNNUUUUGGGCUGAAUGCCUUGCUUUACUGAAAUGCCCAAGUGGCUUGAGAGGUUUAUGACUAAGUGAGGCCGAGGGCCUGAUUUGUGAGGAUAUUUAUGGGAUCGGGUUGCACGCCGCAGCAUGUUGAUAUCGGCCGAUGGCCUGAUUGUGAGGAUGAGUGUGGAUCGUGGCUGCCCGCCUGCAUCAUACUUUAUUAUUAUAGCAUGUGAGUUAUCCAUGUAGAUUAUAGCGCUUGGGAUGAAGGAGCCCCUCCGGAGUCUGUACUCACCCCCAGUGAGCGCAGGUACCUACUGAGUGCAAGUACCGAGUGCUGAUUGACUGGGAGGAAAGAGUGAUUGUGAGGUAUGCCCGAGUCGCAAGAGUGAUUGUGAGGUAUGCCCGAGUGGCACGAGUAAUUGUGAGGUUUGCCCGAGGGGCUGUAUAUGAGUGAUGUUUUGCCCGAGGGGCCGUUUAUGAGUGAUGUUUUGCCCGAGGGGCUGUUUAUGAUUUCAUUAUUUUUGCUCACCUUUGCAUUGAGUCUUUGUUUGAAAACCUGUUGGAAGAAUAUCUUUAAAUGAUUUUUAUUGGAACCGGGUUUAAACGAGAUUAUUUGAUUCAAACACUGAUUUUUAAAGCAUGUUAUACUUUACUGAGAUUUCAUGAUAUGAACGUUAUAUGCUUUAUUGCUCGUCACUACUACUCAGUCUUUAUUUAUUGUUGUUACUUACUAAGUUGGCGUACUCACGUUACUCCUUGCACCUUGUGUGCAGAUUCAAGUGUAGCUGGACACGGUAGCAGUUAUUGAGUGUUUUGAUUGCAGAUUUUCUUGGAGAUAACAAGGUAGCUGUUUGGUGAUCGCAGACCCUGCUCUUCUCCCUCUUAUCUUUCUCUAGUUGUAUUUAGCUAUUUUUCAGGCUGAGUUAACCUUGAUAUUGUUAGACAGAUUAUAGUAGAUGCUCAUGACUAGUAAUACCCCGAUGUAGGGAUUUUCCUUCCGUACUUUUAUUUUGAUUUGAACUCCUUUACGAAAGUUUUUAUGAUAAAUAACAUUGAAAUUAUCUUUGAAAUGAAAUNNNNNNNNNNNNNNNNNNNNNNNNNNNNNNNNNNNNNNNNNNNNNNNNNNNNNNNNNNNNNNNNNNNNNNNNNNNNNNNNNNNNNNNNNNNNNNNNNNNNNNNNNNNNNNNNNNNNNNNNNNNNNNNNNNNNNNNNNNNNNNNNNNNNNNNNNNNNNNNNNNNNNNNNNNNNNNNNNNNNNNNNNNNNNNNNNNNNNNNNNNNNNNNNNNNNNNNNNNNNNNNNNNNNNNNNNNNNNNNNNNNNNNNNNNNNNNNNNNNNNNNNNNNNNNNNNNNNNNNNNNNNNNNNNNNNNNNNNNNNNNNNNNNNNNNNNNNNNNNNNNNNNNNNNNNNNNNNNNNNNNNNNNNNNNNNNNNNNNNNNNNNNNNNNNNNNNNNNNNNNNNNNNNNNNNNNNNNNNNNNNNNNNNNNNNNNNNNNNNNNNNNNNNNNNNNNNNNNNNNNNNGUCGUGGCAAGCCGCUUCUAUGGCUCCGUACCUACGAAAAUUCCAUCGCAGGUGCGGCUCUAGUUCGGCCCAAUAGUCCUGCAUCUGCGCUCCAUGUAGCGCAUCUGCGCGUCCACUUCUGUGGUCCAUGCGCCGCACCUACGCCUAUCGCCUGCUCCUGCGUUGCCCACCUCGCACCUGUGCCUUCGCAGGUGCGCCCAAAUAUUCCGCACCUGCGGUUGCUGACCAGCCUCCUCUCCUUCGCACCUGCGACUCGAAGCUCGCACCUGCGGCCCCUUUCACGCAGGUGCGAUUCCACCAGAUAUCAGCUGCCUCAGCAUUUCAUCCUAGUCCAAACUCGAUCCGUUAACCAUCCGGAAUCCACCUGAGUCCCUCGGGACCUCAACCAAAUAUACCAACACGUCAUAAAACACAUCACAAAGUUAGUCGAGCCUUUAAAUCACAUCAAACAACGCUAAAAACAUGAAUCACCCUCCAAUUCAGACUUAGUGAACUUUGAAACUUCAACUUCUACAAUCGAUGCCGAAAUCUAUCAAAUCACGUCUGAUUGACCUCAAAUUGUGCAUACAAGUCAUAUUUGACAUUACGGACCUAUCCAAAUUCUGGAAUCGGAAUCCGACCCUGAUAUCAAAAAGUCCACUCCCGGUCAAAUUUCUUAAAAUUAUCCAAAUUUCCAACUUUCGUCGUAAUGGCCCCAAAAUGACCUAUGGAUCUCCAAAUCCACUUUCAGACGUGCUUCUAAGAACGGAAUCAUCAUACGGAGCUAUUCCUAGACUUAAAAUCCUAAACGGACAUCGAUAUCAUUGAAAUUCACUCCAACCCAAAUUUAUGAAAUCCUUCCAAAAUGCCAACUACCACAAUAGGGGAUGAAACAUUCCCGAGUCAUUCAAAACCCGAUACGGACAUACGCCCAAGUCCAAAACUAUCAUACGAACCUGUUGGAACCUUCAAAUCCCGAUUUCGAGGUCGUCUAUGCACAAAUCAUACUUUAGUCAAUUCCUCCAACUUAAGGCUUCCGAAAUUAGAAUUUGCUUUCCAAAUCAACUCCGAACUUCUGGAAAUUAAAUUCCGACUACGCGUACAAGUCAUAAUACCUGAAGUGAAGCUGCUCAAAUUCUCAAACCGCUGAACGAUACUCUAGAGCUCAACACGACCGGUUGGAGCGUUACACUUAGUGUCUAAACUUACAAAAGAAUUGAGAUGUUUGGCAGCAUUUUACCCUGACUUCUGUGUCUUUCAGGAACUCUUAAGUGGGAAGGUAUUGAGGAUAGGUAAGGAAGAGUUAGGCAUGUACAUUCUCAAGGAAGAUGAGAUAAAAGUAUUCUGUCAACAAGGCCCUCCUCGACCAAUGUCUCAUUCUACUUCAAUUGCAAAUACCAUUUCAGGUGACAUCAAUAAAUGUAGUAACCUAGUAGGUAAUAAGUCUUGUGCUAUAUCCUCCUUAUGGCAUGAAAGGUUAGUUCAUCCUCCUUUAAAGGUCUUGAGAUCUGUAGAUGCUUUGCAUAGUAUGCAGUUAAGGCAACAUCAUUGUACUGUGUGUCCUACAGCCAUGCAAUCAAGACUACAUUUCCUUGUUAGCUCUUUUUGCUCUAAAUCUAUAUUUGACAUUAUGCAUGGUGAUGUUUGGGGACCUUAUAGAGAGCCUACUCAUGAUGGCAAGGGAUAUUUUUUUAACUUUGGUAUAUGACUAUUCCAGAUAUACUUGGCUAUUUCUACUGUAUUCUAAGUCAGAUACUAUUGAAGUGUUGAAAAACUUUGUAGCAAUGGUCUCCACACAGUUUGACAGCAGACUCAAAUGCUUAAGAACAGACAAUAGAACUGAGUUUCUUAACGACCAAAUGCAGACCUUAUUCAAGAAUCAAGGUAUUGUACAUUAGAGCUCUUGUACAUAUACCCCUCAACAUAAUGGGGUUGUUGAGAGAAAACAUAUGUCUAUUCUAGACAUAGCUAGAGCACUCAAAUUUCAAGAUUUUUUACCUCUAAGAUUCUGGGGAGAAUGUGUAUCUACUGUAGUAUAUUUUCUGAAUCGAUUGCCUAUUGUUCUAUUACAAGGAAAAUCUCCCUUUGAGAAGAUCUUCCAAAGGAGUCCAUCUCUACAACAUCUUAGGGUAUUUGGAAAUCUUUGUUAUGCCACUAAUGUGAGGAAAAAAGAUACAUUUUAUCCCAGAGCAAUCCCAGCUGAUCACAUGGGCUAUUCAUCCUCUCAGAAGGGCUAUGUCCUCUAUGACAUAUGCUCCAAAGGAUUCUUUGUCAGCAGGGAGGGACACUGUAUUCAAGGAGUAAGUGUUCCCAUUCAAGCAUAUGUCCUCUGGUGUAUCUCCCUUAUUUCCUAUCUUGGAGUUUCUAAAACAACUUGCCCAGCCAGUUGUUUCUCCUGGUGGUGCUUCCUUACCUCUAGUACCUCUAAGCCUAAACAAUGCUGAUAAUGUUGCUACUCCCUUUCCUACCACCUCAGUUCCUCUCACUCGUGGUCAGUCUCAUAUGUCUACACCCGUCUCUCCUCAUGUAUCAUUCUGUAGCAUUCAAGUUUUCUAGGCUUACCAAACCACAUGUGUGGUUAGCAGACUAUGUUGUUCCACCAAAGAAGUCAGCUUGACCUUAUCCAAUGUCCAACUAUGUGACAUAUGAUUACUUGUCCCCUGCCUACAGGACUUCUCUUGCUUUAUUCUCAGCCAUUGUGGAAACCAGAUUUUUCUCAAAAGCCAGUAGGGAUCCUAAGUAGGUUGAGGCUAUGCAAGCUGAGAUCAGUGCUCUUGAAGAGAACAACACUUGGUCCAUUGUCCCUCUUUCUCUUGGGAGGGUCCCUAUAGGCUGCAAGUGGGUGUUUAAGGUCAAAUACAAGUCCUUUGGUGAGGUGGAAAGAUACAAGGCCAGGUUGGUGGAUAAAAGUUACAGCCAACAUGAAGGUUUAGAUUAUACACUUUCUCUUUAGUAGCUAAAAUGGUCAGUGUGAGAGCUGUAGUUGCCUUGGAUUGUGCUUCUGGUUGGUAUGUGUUUCAGAUAGAUGUUCAUAAUUCUUUUCUUCAAGGAGAACUUCUAGAAGAAAUGUACAUGCAUGUUCGUGAUAGAUUUUCAGGCCAGGAGGAGUGUCAUCAGGUGUGCAAACUAUAUAAAGCACUGUAUGGAUUGAAACAGACUCCUAGGUAGUGGAAUCUAAAGUUAACUGAAGCAUUAGUGGAUAUAGGAUUUGUUCAAAUCCACUAUGAUUAUUCUCUCUUUACACAGAAGGUGGACUCAAAGCUAUUAGUCAUUCUAGUCUAUAUGGAUGACCUCCUAGUAAUUGGAAGUAGUCUAGACUUGAUCAAACAAGUUAGAAAAGAUCUUCAAGAGAGAUUCAAGAUGAAAGACCUUGGUGAAAUUAAAUACUUCAUAGGCAUUGAGUUCUCCGGAUCUCAGGAGGCAUAGUUAUGUGCCAAGAAAAAUAUGCUCUAGAACUAGUGUCUGAGCUAGGUCUAGCAGGUGAAAAAUCAACCGCUACACCUUUAAAAUUCAACCAUAAGCUCCCAUCCAUUGAAUUUGAGAAACAAAUACCAAAUGAUAAUACUACAGUUGAUAAGGAGCUUGAAGACAAGGAGGCUACCAGAGGCUAGUUCGAAGAUUAUUAUACUUAACCAUGAUAAGGCGUGACAUUGCCUUUGAGGCUCAUGUACUCAGUCAGUAUAUGCAUGCACCACUGAAAGAAAUCUGUCUUUUAGUGGCAAUAUUUAGUGGCGACUUUAUUUAAUGCUACAAUUAUCAAAUUUAUUGUGGCGGCUCUAAAAGUCGCUACGAAAGAUAAAUUUUUAGUAGCGACUUUCUUAGGUCGCUUCUAAUAUGUGCCAAUAAAUCCUGAAUUUUUAGUUUCCGCUAUUAACAAAAAUUUGGCUCCAAUGUUUUAGGAGCGACUUAAAAAAUAUCGCCCCUGUAGGUCUUUUGAAGUGACUAGGUCGCUACUAUAAUUUAAAAUAAAUCACUUAAAAUAACUUAAAUAAAAAGAAGCAAAGAAAGAAAAUAAAAGACUAGUUUACAGAGAAGAAACAUACGUACUUCUGCAGCUUCAUCCUCUCACUAUGUCUCAACAAAAGUGGUUUUCUCCCACUCUUAUUAAAAACUAUCCAUCCGAUUCCCUCAAAUCUCUUGAAUCUAUCCUUAAAUCGCAAAUGUAAAAUGAUACCCAAAGCCCUAAUAAGAAAUUAUAUUCUCUAAUUAGGUAUGUGUUUGAAUCCUAAAUUCUUUUGGGUGGUACAUGCAACUAGCGAGAAUGAUUAUUUCUUCAAUUUCACCUUUAAUUUCUCUGACCCAUUUGAAAAUAUACAGGAAUCAGAAGUAAUUUUUCUUGAAUAGCCAUCGCCUAAAGCCCUUUCUCAGUGUCGACUGCUCUUUCGCUGGGUAAGUUAAAAACUUCUUUCUGAAAUUUUAGACCUUUUGAUGAUUGCAUGUUUAGUAUUCCACUCAAAAUCGUGAAAUGUGAUGUUAGGUAUUAUGGGUCUUCAUUUUUCUUGAUAUUUUUCUAUGGAACCCGAAAUUUUCGUAAAUAUUUGCCCAAUAAUAUUUUGUGUAGUACGAGUGAAGGUUAUUUGAGAUUGUGUUAUAGUAAUCAACAAGAGUCUUCAGUCCGUUCAUUGCAAUUAAAUUUAUUUUUUGUUUUGUUCUUUUUGUUUUUGUUUUUGGGGUUUGUACUAUCAUAUUAAAUUUUUUACUUCUAGGACGAUAAAGUAAAGUUACAACUAAAAUUAACAAAGCUGAAGGAUAGAGCAUGGGUAGUCUUUGGACUUAUUCUUUUUUCCUUUGGCUGUUGUUUUGAGGAAAACACAUAUGAUGAAAGCAUGAACUAUAUCGACUUUCGCAAUGGUGCCAACUCGAUAUUUGUAAUCUUGAAGCCCUAAGUUACAAAAGUCAGGUAGUAAGAUACUUUUGCUAAACAUAUUUUUAUGGUCCAGACUUUCAGGUGAUUUUAAAUUUCUGCUCACAGUAAACUAUAACGUCUCCUCCCAUUUUUUUCUUUUCUUUAAGGUUAGAGAUUAGAGGGAAGUAUUCUUUUAGAUGUGGUUGACUCUCUCUUAGUCGUGUGAUAUUUGAGAAAUUUAUUCGUGCUUGUAAGUUAUAAGAAUUUGCUCACUGAUUGUUAAAAAGAUAAACAAUAUAAAAAGGAAUAGAAAUUACAUAACUAGUCUGCGCAUUAUUUGAAUGGAUGAGAAUUUGUAUUAGCAUCUGGGAGAAUACCCUUUAUGUACUGAGCACUAUCUUAGUGCUUGGUAUUUUGUAAUUUAUAAUACUUUAGUUUCUCAUUUUAAAAGUAUGUGGUACAGAAAUUGUCUAAUUUCAUUAAUAUAUGUCUACAUUGAUUAGAUUCUAUGGAAUUGAGAUAUUUUAUGAAAAAGUGGCCAUGUUGGACGGUAAACAUAUCCCUCUUUGACUAGUAUAGUAUUAUUAUAUUUUCGUUUGAUGCACUAUUUCUAUUGAGAUCUUACUCUUAAUAGGAAAAAGUUGUUGCUGCAAUGCUAAUUUUUUAUGGGUGAUUUGAUUUGUUCAUAUUUUUCACUUAUGUUCUUGUUGAUAUGCUGGUUGUUGUUGCACUUCACUUUUUGUUAAUUAAUUGAUUGCCUUUUAUCCUAAAAAACAGGAAUAGAUAAAAAUUGGUUGAAUCUUAGGAAUAGAGGAGACCAAAGAUACAAAGAUGGAGUAGAUGGUUUUCUUAGUUGGGCAUUCAACCAACCAAGGGUGAGCACUAUGAUUCGAUGUCCUUUUAAAGGGUGUAUGAACACUGUGUUCAAGCUAAGAACCGAUGUAAGAGAAGACUUAUUGAGGAAAGGUUUCUGAAAUUCUUAUAAAGUGUGGGACUUGUGUGGAGAAGUUUUAGUUAGAGGUGAAAAUUCUAAUGUAGCACGCAAUGAUGAAGGAGGAGAUAAUAGUAUUGAAGAGGAUAAUAUUGCAGAAAUGAUUCACGAUGCUUGUGGAUACACUAAUGUGGCGGAUGAUAAUAAUUUUUCAGAGGAUAAUGAAGAGUCAAAUAUACAUGCAACAAAGUUCUACAAAUUAUUAGAAGAUGCACUGAUGAUUAAUUAGAGUUGCCACUGAUGAUUAAUUGAUUUGGUGGAACUCUUUCUUGUGGGGAGUACAUUUAGUUUUUGUAGCGACAACAUCGUCACAAAAUGUAUACAUUCUGUGGUGACCUUAUGUUGUAGCCACUAGUAACAUUCAGUAACGGAAGUACUUGCAGCAAUUCCAUAGUCGCUACUGUAAAUAUUCAGUGGCAACAAUCUAUAAUUUUGUGGCGACUUUGGUCGCCACUAAAAGAUAGAUUUCUUGUAGUGCACCUAAGAUGUCUCACAUGGAGGCUGCCUUAAGAGUAGUAAGAUAUAUCAAGAUUUCUCCUGGACUUGGAUUGUUCAUGCGUGCAAAGGCAUGCAAGUACUUGUUUGCAUAUUGUGAUUCUGAUUGGGAGAUUGUGUGGAGAUCGGGAGAUCAGUGAUAGGCUAUGCAGUGAAAUUUGGUGAAGUACUGAUAUCAUGGAAGUCCAAAAAGCAGGGAACUGUGUCCAGGAGUUCUACUGAAGCUGAAUUUCGAAGUAUGGCUGCUACUGUAGAAGAGGUUGUGUGGAUAACUGGACUCUUAAAGGAGCUGGGAGCUGAAGCUGCUAUACAAAGUGCAACUCAUCCUAUUUUCCAUGAGGGAAACCAAAUACAUUGACAUUAAUUGCCACUUUGUGAGAGAAAAGAUUGUAUAAGGCUUGAUUCGAACACAACACAUCAGGAGAAUUGAGCAGCUGGUAGAUCUGUUAACUAAGGGUCUUUGCAAGCCACAACAUGAAUACCUAUUAGCCAAGCUAGGGAUGAAAUAUAUAUUUUAUCCCUCGGUUUGAGGUGAGUGUUGAGUAUAGUGGGUCCCGAAUAUUUAUUAGUUAAGAAUAAUUAAUUAUAACUACUAAGAGUUAGUUGUACAAAUAUAAAUAGAUUAGUUGACUAACAUUUUGUACUACUGUUCAUUCUCUUCCUUGAAGGCUAAUAAUAGAAGUAGUUUCUCUUAGCUUUCAUCUCAUUCUCGCACCUUUUAAAACAUUCAGUUCUGCCAUAGUUAAAGCUUCUCAACAAGCUUUCCUUUCCCUUUACCUAAUUUUCCUCUAUGUGGGGGCUGGUUUGAAAUUUAGCACCCUACUAUGAAUUUCGUGUUGUUGUCUUAUCAGAAGAUGUAGUAAUAAUUUCUUUGAUAACAGCUAAGAUUUGGGUGGGUAUCAAUUAAAUUCCUCCCCACCCCCCCACCCCAAAAAAAAAGAUACCUGCCUCUGGGGUUAGCAAAUAGCAAUACCUAACAAUCUUCAAGUGUCGUGGCUAAAAUUUCCUAUGUGUAGAGAAAAGAAGGCAUAAAUUUAUAGGUGCACAUAGGAUGUGAAGAAAUGAAGGCUACAAACAACCCACGAAUAACGGACAUAGUUUUGAUGCUGUUAUUCUUUAAAAGAGCAAAAGGAAAAGAAAAAAUUAUAAUUCAUAAAGAUGCUUCUUGGAAAUGUUAUGAUUAUUAGAGAGUUUAACUACUGAUAUUGAUGUGACAUUGAUGUAAAGCUUAAAAAAAUAAAAUUAUAACACUAAAGGGCAGCCCGAUCUAGAGAAGGGCCGCACCCAUGGAUAUAAUAUAGAGAACUUACAUUAAUACAAGCAUCAGUAACUGCUACCACGGCUCAAACCCGUGACCAAUAAAAUUAUAACAUAUGUAUAUUAAAUCAUCCAAAAAAUAUCAACAUGUAAUCCAGAUAUUAACUUGCAAAAUUAAACUUGAACUUAGAUUAUAAAAUGUAAUUAACACCAAAUCAAAUUGCUACGGGACCAUUACUUGUGUUGUAACUUUUUAAAUUUGGCUUUUUAUUCAAUGUUUGAUAUUUGUAUUAUGGCCCGACUAAAUCCAGAUUCGAGCCAGAAAAUUCUCCGAUGCUUCCUAAUAAAGACGACUUUAUGCCUAGACUUAAACCUAGCACCUCAGAUUAAGAAUAAAUGAAUACUUACUAUUUAACUACAAAUUUUGUCGGUGCUAAUUGUGUUGUACCUUCUUGACUUGUGACAACCGAAUAGUUCCUUUAUGCUAUGAAUCUGGAAAGACUAUUUGUCCCACCAAUAUUCUAAAAUCACUACCCAAGAAAAAUGCCGUUUUAGUCGGAAAGCUAAUGUUACCUCAAUCCCUUUUCUUUAUUCUAUUCUUGUGUCACCAUCAUAUACAAUUAUUGUAAAAUUGAAGCUCCAAGAUCAUCCCUAUUAGCCCCCGACGAUUUUAAAAUCUAGUUAUUUUAGCCUGAAUUAGAUUUAUAAUUUAACUAGUGAUUUUGUUCGCGCUUCGCGCGAUUAUAAAAAUAUUUUAUCUUACAAGUAUAAAAACUAUAGAUAUACCGGAACAAAAAAUACAGAAGACUUUGUUAUCGUAAAUAAGUAAAAUGAAAGGAAUUAGACAUCUAAAGCAUUUAAUUUGCUUCUACUAAAGGAAUUAGAAUGCAGUUUAUUUGAAUUUUACCUAAUUAAGAUGAUUUAAGGAGUAUUGCUCGAUGAAAAGGCAAAAUUAAAACCAAAAUUACGUAAAUUUCAUCUUACAACUGCCAAUUACUAUACAAGUAAGAUAAAAAUAAUAUUAUUGGUUGUACACUUAUAAUUUUAUAUAAAUGAAUUUAAACUUUUCAUUGCCAAUAUAAUAGUCCCACAAGUGAGAAGCUUUUCUAGUUCCACAAUAUUCCUCACAUCCAAAUAUAGAUGUCAUCUAAUAAUUCUAUUCUUGUUAUAUGUCGAGCCCAAUUUUCAACCAAUUCCAAUCUAUGAUCAUUCAUCACAAAUUAAGUCUACCAAAACCCAUUAAAAUAAAUUGUGUACAAAUAGAGAAUUGCAAAUCACUUCUAACAAAUCAAACUUCUUCUGAAUACAAUAAGAUAGUAAAACUAGAACACAAUGAACUAUAUAAAAUAUUUAGUUUAUGUAAGGGUGUCUUUCUCUAUAGAAAUCAAAGCAUUUCAGCAUAUUUAUAACAUGAUUUUAUGUUUGAAGCUCUCCCUAUAUUUGAGUAAUUAUUGGUGCUAAUAUUCAACUCAGUUUUUUUUGUCAUCAAAACUAUAUAGUAUAAUAUAUAAACCCGUAAUCAAACUACCCUUUUAAAAUGCCGAGGUCACUACAUAUAAAUUAAGUAUGAGUUUAUCCGGACUAAAGAUUAUUUGAACAAAUUUCACUCUUUUUCAUUGGGAUUAAAUCUCAAACCCAUAAAAAAGACAAAACAACAGUUUGAAUUUUCCCUCAAGAACAAUUAAUAGUAUUGACAUAAAUUUUCAAGAACCAAAACCAAACCUUCUAGUAUAUCUAUAUAUGUAUCUAUAUCUAUAUAUAUAUAAUAAAGUUGGGAAAAUAAUAGAUGACGUGGCAUGUGUUUUUGGCCAAGAAACUCAAUUAUCUUUUUUCUCCUUUUUUUGACCUUUCCCUUCAUUUCUUCAUUUAUCUAAUUAUUAAUUUUCGAAAAGUCUUCAAAUGCAAUUAAUCCACUUUUCACCUAAUUAGUUUUAAAAAUAACUGAAAAUAAUAACUCUGCAUCAGCUACAAUUUGACUAUAAUCAUUAUGACUAUUAUGUACUAAUAAAGGUUUAUUAAUCUAGACAAAAGAAAUAAAGUCUUAUUAAUUCUAGAAUUAGUAACCGAAAUCACACGAUAGGUUGUAAAAUCCGAAUUAUAAAGAAAGUAGAUAUCUUGCAUGUGGUAAAUUCUAGAGAGAAAUAUAUUUCAUUUGGUGAAGAUAUGUCAGUGAGGUGUAGGGUUAGAAGCAACUUCAACACACAACGUCCAAAGCAUAGAAGCAAUCAGAAUUCAAGGAAUAAAGAUCAAAGCUAUACCGAAGGAAGAGAGAAAAAACAGACUUUCAAGAUAAGAUAAAUGAAAAAUUAUAAAAAAAAUUAUUAUUCUCACCGUAAACCACAAAGCUCCAAGUACUUUGCUCCAUCGUACAAGUAGAGUUUUUAAAGGUUUCCACUAAAUAAUGUAACAUUAUAUUGCAAGUUGCUUCUACUUGGAGUUCCAAAUUCCAAUAUGGUUGGGAUGUGAUUGUAGCAACGCUCAUGGGUGUAAA
rnacentral:lncRNA from 1 species